UAAGGACCCUCUGCUCUUCGAGUUGGUUACGUGGUGGAACUGUUUUUUUUCAAGAUGGAAGGACAACGGCAGCCAUCGCAAGUCCCAAUUUGCCGUCAUUUUAACACCCGGCGAGGUUGCAAGUUCGGGAAGAGAUGUCGGUUUUAUCAUCCGAGAGAUUUCAGACAAAGCCGGGGCAGGCCAUGUAAAGCAGAGUCAGUAGAAAGGGUGGCUUUGCCACCAGCCCCUCGCACGGAGUUCCCAGAGACAGAAGAUAAAUCGACCGUUGCGAAUUCAAACAGUACCUUGAAGAGCGAAUUGAUCACGACGGAUGAAAUGCGAAUACGAAGGCUGUAUCGUGGAAUUCGCGCGAGUCGAAAGAUAAGGUGGCACGCUAGAGAUACGGGGACAGACAGUGAGAGCGAGGGAGACGAUAAUCAGCCUGAGGCCAAGCGAGCCCGAGCUGUACAGCCUCGCUGUGAGAAUGCAAUGCAGCACAACCACGCUAUGCAUAAUCCACAGCAGCAUUACACACAAAAAGACCAUGCAGCGAGAACACAACAGCACAAGCCAGAGCCCACAGAUUUGACGCAUCUGCAAGACCUAUACAUACACCAACAGCGGUUUGGCUUCCCGCCACCAGUACCGGCGUGGCACGUGAUCAGCUACGAAGAGCCUAUGGAUGAGUCACCAUAACCGGAUGUCUCAAGUUUUGUCAUUAUAGUGCCAUCUCUUCUCUUGUUUUUGUCAAUAAUUAUAUUUGGGUUAAGGACCCCUCGGCCCCAAGUUGCCGAAAACCUACAUAUCGUUAAGUAUUGUUAAGUAUUGACUAAAAAAAUAAGUUUUUGUUCUCUUC